GGUUGCGAUCAUACCAGCACUAAUGCACCGGAUCCCAUCAGAACUCCGCAGUUAAGGGUGCUUGGGCGAGACUAGUACUAGGAUGGGUGACCCCCUGGGAAGUCCUCGUGUUGCAACCC
rnacentral:rRNA from 1 species